rnacentral:lncRNA from 1 species
AGCAACAAUCGAACCGAAACCGUGAACCUCAAGCGAUACUCACCACUUCAAUCGAACUCCAUAGCAACAAGGAAUUUCCAGCAGAACUAGUAUAAAACAAAAACAAGAAAUCCUCGUACUAAAACGACUUCAACAAACCCCACAAUGAGAAAUCAAGGAAGAAUUAAAGUCUUUUAUGCGUUUGAUACGCAGAAUCGAAAAAAUGAAAACUAAAAAGGAAUUGAAAUCUCUGUGUAUAUAUAUGUGUGUAUGUAUGUGUGUGUAUAUAUAUAUAUAUAGAAAUAAUUUAGCGCCUAAGCAAAACUGAAAAUCCAAUUAACCUCUAUUUCGUCCCUCCCCUCUCAAUUCUUGCAUUUUUGUGUAUUUUCUGAUUUCAAAAUGGAAAACGAACUAGAGCCAAGAAUUGAGCUUGAGCCUUUUUGUUUAUUUUGUUCCGGAUUUGUG